rnacentral:rRNA from 1 species
GAGGAAUAUUGGUCAAUGGGCGAGAGCCUGAACCAGCCAAGUCGCGUGAAGAAAGACUGCCUUAUGGGUUGUAAACUCCUUUAAUACAGGAUUAAAACGCCUUACGUGUAGGCCAUUGCACGUACUGUAUGAAUAAGCAUCGCAUAAUCCCUGGCCAGCAGCCGCGGUAAUACGGAGGAUGCGAGCGUUAUCCGGAUUUAUUGGGUUUAAAGGGUGCGCAGGCGGGCUUUUAAGUCAGCGGUGAAAUCUGGACGCUUAACGUCCAAACUGCCGUUGAAACUGGGAGUCUUGAGUAUGGAUGAAGUAGGCGGAAUUCGUUGUGUAGCGGUGACAUGCAUAGAUAUAACGAGGAACUCCGAUUGCGUAGGCAGCUUACUAAGCCAUAACUGACGCUCAUGCACGAAAGCGUGGGGAUCAAACA